UUGAACGCUGGCGGCAUGCCUUACACAUGCAAGUCGAACGGUAACGCGGGGCAACCUGGCGACGAGUGGCGAACGGGUGAGUAAUACAUCGGAACGUGCCCAGUAGUGGGGGAUAGCCCGGCGAAAGCCGGAUUAAUACCGCAUACGACCUAAGGGUGAAAGCAGGGGACCGCAAGGCCUUGCGCUAUUGGAGCGGCCGAUGUCAGAUUAGCUAGUUGGUGGGGUAAAAGCCUACCAAGGCGACGAUCUGUAGCUGGUCUGAGAGGACGACCAGCCACACUGGGACUGAGACACGGCCCAGACUCCUACGGGAGGCAGCAGUGGGGAAUUUUGGACAAUGGGCGCAAGCCUGAUCCAGCCAUGCCGCGUGCGGGAAGAAGGCCUUCGGGUUGUAAACCGCUUUUGUCAGGGAAGAAACGGUCUGGGCUAAUACCCUGGGCUAAUGACGGUACCUGAAGAAUAAGCACCGGCUAACUACGU
rnacentral:rRNA from 1 species